rnacentral:tRNA from 1 species
GGGUAUUUAGUCUAAAAAAGAAGACUGAUUUCGACUCAGUAGAUCGUGGCUAAAACCCACGGAUACCUU